rnacentral:rRNA from 1 species
GGCGAACGGGUGCGUAACACGUGAGGAACCUGUCCAACGGUGGGGGAUAGCCGGCCCAACGGCCGGGUAAUACCGCGUACGACCCCAGGGGGGCAUCUCCCCGGGGUGAAAGCAGCAAUGCGCCGAUGGAGGGCCUCGCGGCCUAUCAGCUAGUUGGUGAGGUAAUGGCUCACCAAGGCUACGACGGGUAGCUGGUCCGAGAGGAUGACCAGCCACAUUGGGACUGAGACACGGCCCAGACUCCUACGGGAGGCAGCAGUGGGGAAUCUUGCGCAAUGGGCGAAAGCCUGACGUAGCGACGCCGCGUGUGGGAUGAAGGCCUUCGGGUUGUAAACCACUGUCGGGAGGGACGAAGAUCUGACGGUACCUCCAAAGGAAGCACCGGCUAACUCUGUGCCAGCAGCCGCGGUAAUACAGAGGGUGCAAGCGUUGUCCGGAAUCACUGGGCGUAAAGGGCGCGUAGGCGGCCUGGUAAGUAGGGGGUGAAAUUCUGCGGCUCAACCGCAGGACUGCCUUCUAAACUGUCAGGCUUGAGCACGGUAGAGGCUGGUGGAAUUCC